rnacentral:misc_RNA from 1 species
AUCAGAAUGGCACUUCUUUCUAAGAACAAAUUGAAGUUUAUUGAUGGUAUAAUCAAGGUUUUUGCUGCAACAAAUCCUCUGUAUUCUGUUUUGGGAAAGAUGCAAUACUAUGGUCCUUUCUUAGAUCACACACUCAUUGUCUCAGUCAAUUGCACAAAGUAUUUUUUGGAAAGAUAAAGCCUAUGAUGUAUGGAAUGAUUUGUGAGAUAGAUUCUCACAAGGAGACAUUUUUUGUAUAUCAGAUUUGUAGGAGGAGAUAUAUGCUUUUAAGCAAG